GUGCUCACUUCAGCGCAGAUAUACUAAAAUUGGUACCAUACAGAGGAGAUGAGCAUGGUUCCUGCAUAAGGAUGACAUGCAAAUUCGUGAAGCAUUCCAUAUUUUA
rnacentral:snRNA from 1 species